GACGAAAAGUAAAUGGCAACCGCCUAAGUCCCAAGGAAACGCUACCGUUGGGAGAAAUGAAACAUUUCUCGCAAACAAGAAAAUGGAGUUGGAGUGGGAGGAGAGAAGACUCUAAAUCGGUAUCCCAAAGUACAGUUAUAGAAUAGUCUAUCCACCGCAAUUUAAACGCUCGAAAGCCAAGGUAAGAGAAGUCCUGCGACCUACGGGGGAAAGAAGAACAUUUCAGUCUGCAAACCAAAUGCUUGAACUUGCCCAGCCACUGCGUUACUACUGUAGGAGACGGGGGUGGUGGGGAGGGAACGACCAAAAGUAGUCUUUAAAAAAAAAAAAAGCCAAAUCUCAGAGUCCUCUUUUCAUUAACUGUCAGCAAUAGACCGUGCCUGCUAUUAAGAGUCGAACUUGUGUACGCUGAAACUAAAGCUGUGGGUAAUAGGGUGCAAGGAGGAGGAAAGUGUGUAAAAUGAUGGUGGAAAUUUACGCACUCUUUGAAGAGAGAGGAAGAGCGGAUUUUUCUCGGUAAACAGAAAGUAUGUUGGGUGCCCUUUUCGCUAAGUCGAGAACGUGGUGAUCAAACGAGCGAACGUCAUUUUCGGUAAAUGCAGAUUUGUGUAUUUUUUUUUCCACCUCCCCCCUGCUCCACGAACUGAUCCCAGAGCCCAAAGUGAUCAGCUCGGCCCAAGAGGAUCGCCUCCUUAUUGCUUUGCCUGGGCGGUAUGUGGCUCAGGACUCCCAGUAUGGAGAUUAAAGGGUGAAUUUCGGACUUGUCCGCAAACACAAGGGCAGAGGGCUAAAGUGUUGUAACUCUGCGGUUCUCUAUUGUCGCAGUUUAUCUUACUUUCUUCCAGCUGUAAAGAUUUCAACCUAGGUGCCUGUCUGUGCAUUGCCCAUCAGGAGUCGACCGCUAAUGCAAGCUAAAAUAACUGCAGUUAUUAAUUUAGAGACGUUUGAAAAAACAAAACAAACAGAAAGAAAUAAAGCAGACCUCAAAGAGUCGCUUUCGCUCAUUUGCUAAAAUAAAGAGUUGUUUGGAAGAAGCCAGCAGACUGCAACAAUAGAACCUCAGUCUCACCAGUGAGGAAAAAAAAAACCAAAAACAAAACACAUUACGGUGCAGAGGUUGAAAAUAAAGAACUGCAAACUAUUUUAAGAAAGGGGUAAAGUCAGCCAUGGCCGUGUGUUUGCCAUGCCAGUGUUGCACCGUCGUGAAAUCAGUAAUUUUCCUGUGAUGAGUGCAACUUUCUAGAAAAUACAACUGUGGACUUCAUUCACUACAUCAGAAAAUAGGAACUUAUAAAUCUGUCUCUCCUCUGUGUCCCCAAACGAGUAUUGAGACUCUGGUGUGCUUAACUUUUCUGGCUUGUUGUGGUUUUGUUUUUUUUUUAAUGAAGUAAAACCCAGACCCUGCCCUUUGGUCAGCUAGCAAACUAAAACACAAAAAUGCUCAACUCUUCCCCAGAAAGAGUCACAGUCAACUUCUAAAGACCCACACCUAUCAUUUCAUUAAGUAUAAGAUUUACACAAAUAAUGCCUGAAAUCGAUGGCACUGCCGCGAAAGACUCCAAAGCCCCAAAGCCGGCUAGGUUGUUUUGCCACCAGCAGUUAGCAGAAUAACAAAGACUUAUGCAUCAAGACAAUAAUAUUUCUUUUUUUAAAAAGUUCCCAAGUUGACACUCCCUCGUCCCAUUUUGACAAGUUUCGGGGGGCGCGGGGGCGGGGGGGAGAAAGCAUUUUCCAGUUGAACGUCUCUGACUAUUGCUGACCUUCAACGCUCUGAGUCCCCCGCGCUCAUUUCAUUUCCUCCGAGAAACACUGCUGUAAUUAGGUUAAUCAGAGCCCAAGUUGUCAAAGUUUAGAAAACAAAGGCGCCGUGUCACCUAUUCAAUUAACCGAAUCUCUCCUGCAGUAGCAGGUGAUGGAAAUGUAUAUAAUGGAGAGGAACAGACAACCCAGUUUAUAAAGUUCCUGGGGGGGGCGGGGGGAGAGAUAACAAGUUCUAGGUAUCUUUUAUCUCCCGCCCGAAAACUUUAGUUUUCCUUGAUCUCAGGGGCGUGCAAGGACGGUGAAGGCGCACAUACAUGUAAACAGAUCACACAGCUGCUUUUAGACACGGGUGUGCCCUGCUGGGCCCAUGAUCUCCCCUUAGUUAGGGACAUCCCAGCUCCUCACUGCAGGCAGAGGGUGAGUUAAGGUUAGUCCUCGAGUCGAAGGUGAGGGUGGAGGGCUGUGUAGUGGAAAAGCAGAAGCCCCCUUUUCAGUAACCCGAUCCUAACAACUCCCCCUCCGAUGGGAAGGAGAGCUCAUUCCCCGCUCGCUCCUCCUGAAGGCACGAAACGUCCCCAACCCCAAUUCAUGCCUGGGCCUCUGGGGAAUAAGGACCAGGCGACAUCUUUCCAAAGCCCGCAUGAGUGGGAGAAAGGAAAGCCGGCUGCUUUCCUGCAACAGGCAUCUUGGGGAUGUGACCGGGCCAGGCUGGGGGUGCAGGGGUGCCCCAAAUGUAAGGGCAGAACCAGGAAACCCGGGGCAAGGAAAGGUCCUGCCUCAGGGGGCCGGGCCGCCGGCCUCGGCCUUUUCCCCUCUGAAAAGUUCUCCAAGACGGAAUGGCAGGGCUCUGGCUCUCUGGUCUACCUGGCUGGCCGAGUCCAGGCUUCCUGGUGCUCAGCGGAGGAGCUAACGGGCCAGGGGAGCCACCAGGAAGGAGCCUUCCAUCCCUCCCUUGCAAAGUUGCGAGCUCGGCGUCCCAUCCCACCCUGCAAUCCCAAAACAGCAAGUCGCCUCCCCUCGGGUUUGGCGGGCCCCUUUGUUCAGGAGAGCGAGAGGGGGGCGGUGGAUGCACGUUGUUGUAAACUUUUGGAACACAUUAGCGAAAGGAAAAGGUUAAACUCUGCAGACGGCGCUGGGGUUGCAAAAGAAGAAUCUGUUUUAGAACAAAGGGGGACGGAGGGAGGGGGGUGACUAUCAGUCCGGAGGAUAGAGCCUGCUAAGGCUUUUUGAAAAAAAGAAAACAACAAACAAAACAAUUUUAAAAAGGAAAUAAAGACGUCCUGCCCCCUCUAAUGUGUUGUCUUUCCCCCCCUCUUCAGAAGGGCCGAGUUUUACCAAAUAAAAAUAAUAAUAAUAAACCUUAAUGGUACAGAGGCAAGCUAUUCCCCCCCCUCCAAAACCUGUGCUACUUUAUGAGAAUAAAAUUCUUGCAGAAUAACUACGACUCCCCCAAUCUCGUGAAUUUAAAUGUUUUUUUUUAUUUUCUUAAAAGUUUUCCUUCGGGCUAAAACCUUCGCUUGAAUGUAAAUUGUUUUGGUAACUGCAUUUACACAGCAGCGAAGUUUGUUUUUCUUCUUCCAGUAGCUUUGCUUUAACGAACCAGAUGUUUUGUCUGUAAAUCCUCCAAAGGACUUUUACAGUUUUGACGUGAAAUAAACCUUAGAA